CCCUUUAAACCCUGGCAGUGCCCAAGGCCAGGUUGGAGCAGCCUGGGACAGUGGGAGGCGUCCCUGGCACCCCAAACCAUUCCAUGGAUGGGUUUUAAGGUCUCUUCCAACCCAAAUUAUUCCAGAAUCCCCCAAUUCUCCAAGCCCAGCUCCCCAUGGAGCACCACACAAGCCCAAAGUGGCCUCCCUUGAAUGAAGGAAUGUUAUCCAAGCAGGAUCAGACAUCCCAGUUUCAUUUCCAAACUGCCCCUGACAGGGAGGACUCUGCAGGAAUUUUGGAUCCUUCCUAAGUCAGCUACAGCACAAGCAUCCCAUGUUGACAAAGGAAAGUCCCCAAGAGGGGAACUGGGAAUCUGAAGGGGAAAUACAGGAGGUGGGGCCACGACCAAGCCCUGCUCGUGUCCUUCAGGCCGCUCUGGGUUCAUUUUUUUGCAUCACAUCCCAAAUAUUGCACCCAAGAGGGGCCAGGAGUGAGUCAGGCAGCGCUGCUGGACUGCAGAAUCCACCCCUGGAAAACACAGCAGCAACACUUCAGCCCAGCCACCACCCUGCCCUCACACCAGCACCCCGUAACAGCCUCCACUCAUCCCCAGCCCUUUCCAGAAAGUCAGGAAUGCUUGAUGGGAGGGGUGGGAUGGUAAAAAACCCAGAUUCAAACCCUAAUCGUGAGGCAGGGUCCUCCAGGAGAGGUGCCCAGGUGCAAUGGGCUGUGCCUGGGUGUCCCUGAAGCCAAGGCAGCGGUGCCAGCCCGUGCCAGCUCAGCAUUCCAGGGUGCAGGAAUGGCUCAUCCCAGGGAUCUGGAGGAGCUCUGCUGGCCUCCUCCUCCUCCCAAAUCCCCACAGCAGCAACAUCUGCCUUUUGGGAAUCUGCUGCCCCUGCCCUGUGGGCUGAGGGACGCAGAGGUGCCACCAGGGCGGGGGUCAGGGACAGGAACAUUUGUCCAGCCUGGACACUGGAGCACAGCCCAGCAGGAUCCAAGGAUGCACCCCUGGAAUGUGGGAGUCUCUGCUAAAGCCAUCACAGCCCACGGGUGAGUUUAGCAGAUGACACUUGAACUCUGCUCCUUGGGAAGCAGCCUUCCAAAUCCCAAAUCCCGUCACCUCCCAGGGAGGAGGAUGGGGGCAGCAAUUCCUGCCAUUCCUGCUCUCCAAUUCAUCCAGAAUUUAAUUCCAUUCCUGCCCAGCUCUCAUCUGCUGCUCUUCAUUGUGCUCCUAAAACGGCAAGAGGGUUGUUUUUUUUUUGUUUUGUUUUUGGUUGUUUUUUUUUUUUUUUCCUCCUUCCCUCCAAAGGCUGCUUUGCAACUUUGUGCUGUCUCUGCCAUUAGCAAAGGGUGGAAAUUUCCACUGACGCACUGUUGAUAAGCCAAGGAGAGGCGGGGGGGAAGGGAGGAUGAGCUGUUCCAGCAGAUCUUUCUGACUCCUCUCAGGAAAAGGUAUUUUAUCUAAACUGCAGGCACUGGGAACAACGUGGGGUUUCGAAAACAACCACCUCUCUCCAACGUGAGCGAGAUUGCUUCCCUCUGCCACAACAACAGAAAAAAUAAAAUAAGAGAGAGAGAAGGAAGAAAGGGAGAAAGAAGCGGCGUAAAAAAAAAAAUAAUUUGGAUUUCUUCAGGAGAGAAAGAAGAGCUGGAAAAAACAAUGAGCAACACAAUGGGCAGUGAAAUCCCUGAGGAGAUCUGAACCCCUUCCCCUCAAAUUCCACACUGGAAUCAGCUGGCAGGAGGCCACGGGGGCUUUAAACCCUCCAACCUUCCUUGCAGGCACUGAUCUGUGACCCCACAGCGCUGCUGUUUGUGGAGAAAACAUCCCCAAAUCCCAGCCAGGCAAAUCAGGGAAAAAUACAGGAAUGCAGCAGGGAAAGCACCUCGUUCUUGCAGGCAGAAAUGCAAAAAGCAUUUGUGCUCUCCAGGAGUCACCAGGGGAGAAAUGCAGGAAAAUUCCACUGAUUCACCAUGAGCCCACAGUUAUUUCUGUCCUCCUGCUUGACUGCAAACACAAGGAUGAUUUAAAUGCAGGGGAGCAGACUGGAACACAUUAAAACAAUGCAUUACCUCCAAAAGAAAUUAAAAUACAAGAUGGUCUCAAAUACAGGAGGACGUGCCUUUGCAUAUGAGCGAAAUAAAGAGCCAGGUUUCAUUUCUCAAAUUUCCCAUAUUCAAGCCAGAAAUUGUUUGAACCCUGAGUCCUAAGGAUGCUCAAAUCUGUUGCUUUCAGAUGGCCAGGGGAGGACUUGAAGGACCCUGGGUGAAAAUUCCCUUUGAAAUCCUCCUGGAACACAACUCUGAGCCACGGGGACAGUGAAGAUCUGCUGGGCUUGGAAGAGGCUGUGGGGUCCCGUGGGUUUGGCCCCAAAACCUCUGCCUGUGUGGAGCUGGAAGAAAAGAGGUGAAAGGAGCAGAAAACACCUGGAGGAAACCACAGCAGGGGCAGGAGGAGCUCCACGUUGUCCUCAUUAAGGUAAUUCCACAAAAAUAAUUAAUUUUUUUUUAUUUUCUACCUGAAUGUUCAUUUUUAAGACCAUGGAAAUGAUGGGGGUGUUGCUCUGCCCUUCCUCAGCAGGGCAAGUUCAAGAUCAGGAUUGUCAGAAGGACCAGCACAAAUGUUGCUUUAGCUUUUAAAAAUGUGGCAGUGGAAGCUCCUUGGAGAUCUGGGAAGGACCAGAUCAAACCCAAAAUUUGGAUUUUAGUGACCAAAUUUGGUCACUGAAGUGCCACAGCAAUGAUCCACAGAGAGCCUGGGGUAGAUACACCCUCAGCCCCAGGAGAGGCAUUUCCAAAAUGCCAUUUAAUUCCUAAUUAAAUCACGGAAAGAUGUUUCAUUAAUAUAAUUAAGGGGAAAAAAAAAAAGAAAAUUAAAAUCAACCCUCCCCAAAUGGUGGCUGGUUCCCACCCCAGCAAGCCCAGUGUUCAUCACAAUAAAUCAAGGAGCUUGCACAAGAUUUGGUGGAUUCUGGUGCCCCCACAUUGAGCUUUGCUCCAGGCCUCUAAAAAGCACCAAAAUUCCCAAGUGCACUUCCACAGGUAAGGUGGGAAGGAAAAAAAACCCAUCCCAAACAUUUCAGGGAUCCUUGAGGCCCAUCCACACUUAGAGGGGGAAAAGAAUUUGAAGGCUGAGUAAUGGUUCAAGUGAUCAAUGAAGAAAGCCCCAUCUAGUGGAAGAAGACAAUCAAUUGAGCAAAAAUUACUUCAAAUGUGCAUGAAUCCAUAAAUAUUCCAGCUGCUUUUGUUCUCAUCCAAGGGCACUGCAGAGCCAGGACACCUUUUUGCCCAAACAGGUCAAGCUGUUCUAAAAUCCAAAGAGCAGCAAGAAGUUGGGUUGGGUGUUAAGUUUAAAUUUAUUUUUUGAGGGGGGGAUUAAGUAAGGAAAAAUUGCAGCUCCUUUAAUCUGUUUUUGUUUUGCCCUCUUUGGUCUUCAAGAGCCGUGGAAAGCAUCAAGAGGCUCGACUUGAGCGAGGCCAAACACGUUUGGAGGAUGAAGUCCUUAAACUCUGCAUAAUUUGAGUUCUGCAAAGGGCAGGGAGGGUUGUUCAGACCUGGGAACGCUCCAGAGAACAAUUCUGACAGGUAACCAUUGUUCCAGUCCUACAGAUCGAGGCAGUCAAAUUGUAUCCAGGGAGGAUCAGAGGGCAUUUCAACCUCUCCCAUCCACGUGGAAAAUUUCACCCUGCCACCAGCAGAAGGUUUAAAAAUGAAUUGUGCAACUCCCAGAGCUCGGCUGCUUUGUGGGAAGAGGCAAAGCCUGAACAUGUAACAAAAAAUUCACAUUGAAAUGUUUCACCAAGAGUCAAAAAAAAGGGGGUGCCCAGAAGGGGUGUGGAUUCCUCAGCCCUUGGAGCAGCCUGGGAGAGUGGAAGGUGUUGGGAUGGAACCGAAUGAUCUCCAAAAUUCCUUCCCACCCAACCCAUUCCGUGAUUCCACGGUCAAUUAUUGAAUUAUUCCUCUCAAUAACCAGCCAUUCCUGCUGUUCUAGGUUCUGGAAACAGGAGCCUUUCCUGGGCAGGUGCUUUGGCAAAGCCACCUGGAAUUUCUGCCUCCUGCCCCCUUGGAUGCUGCUGUGUAUCCCUUGAUCCAGAGGGACCCUGGAAUUCACCUCCUACAGAAAAUCACCUGCGAGGAUAAACUCCCCAAAACGCAAUUCCUGGAUGAGAAUUCAUGAUCGACUCCCUAAAAUGCAAUUUUUGGAUGAUAAUUCCUGACAAACUCCUUAAAUUGGAUGAUAAUUCCUGAUGAACUCCCCAAAAUGCAAUUUUUGGAUGAUAAUUCCUGAUAAACUCCCCAAAUGCAGUUCCUGGAUGAUAAUUCCUGAUAAACUCCCCAAAUGCAGUUCCUGGGCGGUAAUUCCUGACAAAUUCCCAAAAUGCAAUUUUUGGAUGAUAAUUCCUGAUAAACUCCCCAAAUUGGAUGAUAAUUUCUGAUGAACUCCCCAAAAUGCAGUUUUUGGAUGAUAAUUCCUGAUAAACUCCUCAAACUGGGUAAUAAUUCCUGAUAAACUCCCGAAAUUGGAUGGUAAUUCCUAAUGAACUCCCCAAAAUGCAAUUUUUGGAUGAUGAUUUCUGAUUAAUUCCCCAAAGGCAGUUCCUGGAUGAUAAUUCCUGAUGAACUCCCCCAAAAUGCAGUUCCUGGGCGGUAAUUCCUGACAAAUUCCCAAAAUGCAAUUUUUGGAUGAUAAUUCCUGAUGAACUCCUCAAACUGGGUAAUAAUUCCUGAUAAACUCCCCAAAUUGGAUGAUAAUUCCUAAUGAACUCCCCAAAAUGCAAUUUUUGGAUGAUAAUUCCUGAUAAACUCCCCAAAUUGGAUGAUAAUUCCUGAUGAACUCCCCAAAAUGCAAUUUUUGGAUGAUAAUUCCUGAUUAAUUCCCCAAAUGCAGUUCCUGGCUGGUAAUUCCUGACAAAUUCCCAAAAUGCAAUUUUUGGAUGAUAAUUCCUGAUGAACUCCUGAAACUGGGUAAUAAUUCCUGAUAAACUCUCCAAACUGGAUGAUAAUUCCUGAUGAACUCCCCAAAAUGCAAUUUUUGGAUGAUAAUUUCUGAUAAACUCCCCAAAUGCAGUUCCUGGAUGAUAAUUCCUGAUGAACUCCCCCAAAAUGCAAUUCCUGAUGAGCUCCCCAAACGCAGUUCCUGGGUGAUAAUUCCUGAUAAAUUCCCAAAAUGCAGUUUUUGGAUGAUAAUUCCUGAUAAAUUCCCAAAAUGCAAUUUUUGGAUGAUAAUUCCUGACAAAUUCCCAAAAUGCAGUUUUGGGAUGAUAAUUCCUGAUAAAUUCCCAAAAUGCAGUUUUGGGAUAAUUCCUGACAAAUUCCCAAAAUGCAGUUUUGGGAUGAUAAUUCCUGAUAAAUUCCCAAAAUGCAGUUCCUGGAUGAUAAUUCCUGACAAAUUCCCAAAAUGCAGUUUUUGGAUGAUAAUUCCUGAUAAAUUCCCAAAAUGCAAUUCAGCAAGAACAAAAGCAAGCCCUGGGUUUGCUAUUUCAGAGAACACGGGGGCUGAGGAGACAACUGGGAGUGAAGAGCAAAACAAAAAGAUGAAGAGGCAAAGCAAGCAAAUAACAAAAGAAAAUUGCCAUCUUUUCAAAAUCAAAUUUGAAAGCAAGGAAAAAAAAAACCAAACCAACAAGGCAAUGAAAAACUGGCAAAUAGAGCAUGGAAAUUGUUAUGAAUAAUCAAGAGUUUUGCUGGAGAACUCGUAAGUCAUGGAAUGGGUUGGGUUGGAAGGGACAUUAAAGCCCACCCAGUGCCACCCCUGCCAUGGCAGGGACACCUCCCACUGUCCCAGGCUGCUCCAGCCCCAGUGUCCAGCCUGGCCUUGGGCACUGCCAGGGAAAUAAAUGUGCAACUCAAUAAAAUAAAGUGAAUGAAAUGAUAAAAGUGUGAGGAGAAAGGUGUAAAACAUUCCUGUGUACAGGCAGAUUGAACAGAGGGAAUCCCACCCAUCCCAAACCCACGGAGAAGGAAAGGCCCUGGUGCUCCAUCAGUCCCCAAACCCUGAGCAGGCUGAGCUCCUUCACCUUUGCACCAGAGAUGAAAAAUAAGACAGAAAACAACAUUGGAGAGGGGCUAAAAACCACGAAAACCUCUCCAAUUCCAACCCCCCAGUAUUCCAAGUUCCUCCUCCAAUCCCCCAAUUCCUGAUCUGCAAAUCCUUGGAGCCAUCACCUUCCCAAAGGAAGGCAUGAAUCCCGUUUUUUAUUAUUUUUGUUUUCCCGCUGGUUUUGGAGCUGCCUUUGGAUCAUCUCCCCCCCAAGCCCAGGGCUGGCCCCUCAGAGGCGCCAGGGUGGGCUUGAGGCAGGGCCAGAGCAAACAGGGAGCCACCAAGUGCCACCCCCAGUGUGCUACUAUCACUUUACAACCUGUUGGAAUCUGCUCUGCUGUCCUCAGCCAGCCCCAGCCUGCAGAGGGGUUCAGGGUUCUGGAGCACCUCAAACUGCAAACAGGGCCAGAGUUGAACAUUCCUUCAAUUCAAAGGCUGGCACACACCUUAUUUAAAUCACUUUGCUUUUGUUUGUGCCAGACAGAAACACCUCUGGGACCAAAAAAAACCCCACCAAGCAGCUUAAAAGCAAUUUAAAUGCAGCUCAUUAAUAACAAGUAGUGGCGAGUAAAAGAAAUGUUUGGCACAAAGCUGUUGCCCAGCAGGAGGGGAAGGUUGGGAAUCUUUAUUUAAAUACAUUUUUCUUUUGGUUUUUCACAGGCAGGGCCGUGAGCAAGUCAGGCUCAAGGUCUCACCUAAAUUUCCAUUCCUGGACCCUGCUCCUGGUCACAUUUUAUUCACCCACCAAUUCAGGUGAAUUGUUACAGUUUCAAAUCAUUCCCUGAAAUACUUCACCAAAAUAUUCGUGUUCCACUAGGAAUAAAAUAAACGUGAGUGAGUGGCUAAUUCAGUUUAAAGAUCAGUAAACCAGGGAUUGAAAAGUUUGAUUCUUUCAAUGAACCCACACAAUUCCCAGAACUCGAUUUUCCUAAUGGCCUACAGGCAAAACCUGCCAAUAUCAGAUCUUCCAAAAAAAUCAAACAGAAGGAGGAGGAUGCCCAAAGAGAUGCAUUUAAGAGGAAAACCUAAAUUUUAUCACCUCAGAAUCUCCUGGGAGGGAGCAAUUCCAUUGUUUGUAGGAUCUGAGGCAUCCAGGAGGAUAAAACUGCUCCUCCAGUGGCAGCUGAGGGCCACAACCCCCCUGGCAGGCUUGGAGAAAUCUGUUUUACACAGAAUUGCCAGAAAAUUCCUUUUCUCCGUGAAUUCUCUUGGACACUGUUAAGUUUGUAACAUGCCUGUAAUGCACUUUAUAUCCACAAUAUCCCAGGUGAUGCUGGAGCACUCCAGAACUGAGGGAAAAAAGCUCUUUUUGAAGGACACACCAUCCCUCCUGCUGAUUUAUGAAUUUGUAUUUUCUGCCUUAACUCUUCCCCUAUCUCUAAAAUCGCCACAAAACCUGCACAAGCUUUGCCCUGAAAAUCAUGGAAAGGUUUGGGUAGGGAGGGAAAUUAAAGACCCUUCCAUGGGCAGGGAACUUUCCACCAGCUCAUUCCAAGCCCCAUUCCAUUGAUUUUUAUAUAAUUAUAUUAGAUUAAUUUUUAUAUAAUUCACCAGCCAGGAGGUCCAAGGAAGUAAUGGAUUGAGUGUUCACCUCAAAUCUCCAACUAAUUACGUGCUAGAGGCAAAUAAAUCAGUUAAAGCUCUGAGAGUCAGAAAAAAAAAAACAACCCAAACUUAAAAAUAUUAAAACCUCAAACAAGCAAAGAAUUAAAAGCUUUGAAGAUUCAAAGACAGACACUCAUUUGAAUCCUCACAGAAGCCUCUUAAGUUAAUUCAGAAUAAGCCAAGCCUAAGGAAAGGUGAAAUAUUCUGAAUUAUCCAAUGUCCACUCCAUACUCCAAAAGGGACACAGGAGAAUUAGAAAUUGGCUGGGAAUGAGGAAAGAUUCCAGCAUUUCAUGGUAAAUCCAGGAGCUUAGGGGGUAUCUGGAAAAGUUGUUUAUUUUCUUUUUAACUUUGUCAUAUUGAGAAGAAGACAAUGAUUAUUUUUUACACCUGCUGUAAA